rnacentral:rRNA from 1 species
UACGUAGGGUGCAAGCGUUAUCCGGAAUUAUUGGGCGUAAAGAGCUCGUAGGCGGUUUGUCGCGUCUGCUGUGAAAACUGGAGGCUCAACCUCCAGCCUGCAGUGGGUACGGGCAGACUAGAGUGCGGUAGGGGAGAUUGGAAUUCCUGGUGUAGCGGUGGAAUGCGCAGAUAUCAGGAGGAACACCGAUGGCGAAGGCAGAUCUCUGGGCCACUACUGACGCUGAGAAGCGAAAGCAUGGGGAGCGAACAGG